GAAAUGCGAUAAGAAGUGUGAAUUGCAGAAUUCAGUGAAUCAUCGAAUCUUUGAACGCACAUUGCGCCCCUUGGUAUUCCAUGGGGCAUGCCUGUUCGAGCGUCAUUUGUACCCUCAAGCUCUGCUUGGUGUUGGGUGUUUGUCCCCGUCUCCGCGCGUGGACUCGCCCCAAAGUGAUUGGCAGCCGGCGUACUGGUCCCGGAGCGCAGCACAUGUCGCGCAAACGAGUGCCUUGGUACGGCGGCGUCCAUAAGCCCCUCUCUCACGCUCUUGACCUCGGAUCAGGUAGGGAUAUCCGCUGAACUUAAGC
rnacentral:misc_RNA from 1 species